rnacentral:rRNA from 1 species
ACGGAGGGUGCGAGCGUUAAUCGGAAUCACUGGGCGUAAAGCGCACGUAGGCGGUGUCGUAAGUCGGAUGUGAAAGCCCUCGGCUCAAACGGGGAACUGCAUUCGAUACUGCGAUGCUUGAGUGCCGGAGAGGGUGGCGGAAUUCCAGGUGUAGGAGUGAGAUCCGUAGAUAUCUGGAGGAACUCCAGUGGCGAAGGCGUCCACGUGGCCGGCAACUGACGCUGGGGUGGAAAAGCGUGGGGAUCAAACAG